AUGGCCCGUGCUACUAUUCUUUUGAAUUUUAAUGCGUUCUUAGAGAAAGCUAAGUUGAAAGAUGAUGGUAGCAACUACACGGACUGGGUCCAUAACUUGAGGAUUAUCCUCAUUGCUGCACAGAAGAAUUACGUCCUGAAAGCACCGCUAGGUGCAAGACCCGCUGCAGGAGCAACUCCAGAUGUUAUGAACGUCUGGCAGAGCAAAGCUGAAGACUACUCGAUAGUUCAGUGUGCCAUGCUUUACGACUUAGAACCGGGACUUCAACGACAUUUUGAACGUCGUCGAGCAUAUGAGAUGUUUCAGGAGUUGAAGUUAAUAUUUUAA
rnacentral:rRNA from 1 species